rnacentral:tRNA from 1 species
ACGGGAGUAGCUCAAUUGGCAGAGCAGCGGUCUCCAAAACCGCAGGUUGUGAGUUCGAGUCUCGCCUCCCGUG